AUGGACGGACGGACGACGACUCGGGGCGGGGGGGCUUGUCCCCGGACUAAUCCAUGGCGAUGUGUCGAUGGCAAUGCGAAAGCUCUCCUGGCAUCUCAUCUCUGCACACGAAAGAAGCAACAAUUUCACUCGUCAGAACACAAAUUCAAGCAAGAUGUAUAUCAGAUUGAACGGCAGAACAGUGCUACUCUACUUACACCAGGGGAGGAUCUUCCAGCGCUGGUUGUCGCCCUCGCACCACUUCCAGAGCACGACCUCGGUGCCGUCGUGGACGCCGCCGUGGGCCUUGUCGCCGUGGAAGGCGUCGAAGUUGAGGUAGAUGUUGUUCACCAUGCGGACGCAGCGGAAGCCCUUGCCCACGUCCCUGCUCUCCGUCCAUAG
rnacentral:rRNA from 1 species